rnacentral:rRNA from 1 species
UACGUAGGGGGCAAGCGUUAUCCGGAUUUACUGGGUGUAAAGGGAGCGCAGACGGCAGUGCAAGUCUGAUGUGAAAGCCCGGGGCUCAACCCCGGAACUGCAUUGGAAACUGUACAGCUUGAGUGUCGGAGAGGUAAGCGGAAUUCCUAGUGUAGCGGUGAAAUGCGUAGAUAUUAGGAGGAACAUCAGUGGCGAAGGCGGCUUACUGGACUGUAACUGACACUGAGGCUCGAAAGCGUGGGGAGCAAACAGGAUUAGAUACCCGUGUA